rnacentral:rRNA from 1 species
CCUACGGGUGGCAGCAGUGAGGAAUAUUGGUCAAUGGUCGCAAGUCUGAACCAGCCAUGCCGCGUGCAGGAAGAAGGUUCUAAGAGUUGUAAACUGCUUUUGUACGAGGGUAAACGCAGAUACGUGUAUCUGGCUGAGAGUAUCGGACGAAUAAGGAUCGGCUAACUCCGUGCCAGCAGCCGCGGUAAUACGGAGGAUUCAAGCGUUAUCCGGAUUUAUUGGGUUUAAAGGGUGCGUAGGCGGUCGGGUAAGUUAGAGGUGAAAUCCCGAGGCUCAACUUCGGAAUUGCCUGUGAUACUGUUCGGCUAGAGAGGAGUUGCGGUAGGCGGAAUGUACGGUGUAGCGGUGAAAUGCAUAGAGAUCAUGCAGAACACCGAUUGCGAAGGCAGCUUACC